UAUAUGAGUUCUGUUAUACUCACAGACAUCAUUCAAACAGUUUUAAAAACUUCAGAGUGUUUUCUAUCUAUUACUUAACAUUCAUUGCUAGGAGGCGACAUAUCACAAAGGGAAGGAGGGGUGAACAAUGCCCAUUUACUCAGAAAUUUCUGUGGAACUCAAUCCAGUAAUAUGUGAGUUAUGCUGCAGGAUGAGUAACAUGGAACUUGUAGAAAGCCAAGAGUAGGAUUGCAUCAUCUUCUUGUGAAGCAGGAAGAGAAACCUUGUACCCACCCCGAAUCCACCUGUUGAUUUAUAUCUUAUGAUGGGUUUUCCUAUGCAAUGCUCUUAGGGCUACCAAACAAACAGGUGGAAGAACAUCUCUACGACCUCUGUUGUUAAGGAGAAAAUGGAGCCUCAAAGGAGAGUGUACAUAUCUCUCCCUAAAAAACACAGGACCGCUUUGGCCGAAAAGUGUAAACUGGAUCACGGGCUUGUCAUUAAGGAUCUCAGCACUAACAUAAAUGAAGGAUACCUACAAGCUUACUUCCGACAGUGGGGCAGCAUUACAGCAUGCACGAUCAAGAAGACUCCACAGGACUCUGACUCAAAGAGUGCCAGUGCAUUGGGAUACGUGAGUUUUUCCUCUGAGUAGGAGGCAGAUACGGCAGACUGGGCGGGUCCUCACUAUAUAGGAGGCAUGGAAGUGGAGGCCAAGAGAGUUGUCAGUCUGAAGGUCUUUCAGCACCAGUCAAGUCUUAAGUCUCAACAGGAUGGAUGACCCAGAAGGUUGAGGUCAUCCCAGCCAGGUCUAUCCGCAGACGUGACUAUGGGUCUGUUCAUCAAUUGAGCAUCUCCUCGAGAAUGUAUCAGAGGCCGGAUGAUAAUGUACCUACGUAAUUUUUUUUUUUUAAGCAAUUUUGGAUGGGAUACAUGGAUUAUUUGUUGAAAAAUAAAUGUAGAUUCUAAUUUUUUUCUAUGAUUUGGUUUGAUUGUAACAAUUUGUUUUCAGAUGUCUUAUGUACCUUGAUUUACUGAUUUGUAAUGAAAUGACAAUUGUUUUCAAUGCUGUGAACAUUAUAAGGCCGAUGUUGCAUUAACUUUUAGUAGAAUAACCAAAGAUAUUACUAGAAAGGGACAUUUCCUAAAGAAAAUGUGUGUUUGCUAGAAGUAUUUAUGAUAGUGACAGCAAUAGUAGUAAUGAUUGAUUGAUUGCAUUUAUAGGGCCCUGUAAAUCUGCGAUAUGCAGAACGCUGACGGAAUCCAGACAUUAAA